CCGAGUUUACAACUCCCAAACCCCUGUGAACAUACCACUUCGUUGCCUCGGCGGAUCAGCCCGCUCCCGUACGGGACGGCCCGCCAGAGGACCCCUAAACCUCUGAAUUCGUAUAGGGUAUCUUCUGAGUAAAACAAGCAAAUAAAUCA
rnacentral:misc_RNA from 1 species